AACGAACGCUGGCGGCAGGCUUAACACAUGCAAGUCGAACGCCCCGCCAGGGGUUUGGCCGACGGGUGGGUACCGCGUGGGAACAUACCCUUUCCUGUGAACUAGCUCCGGGAAACUGGAAUCAAUACCGCAUACGCCCUACGGCGGAAAGAUUUAUCGGGAGAGGUUUGGCCCGUGGGGGAUUAGCGAGUUGGUGGGGUAAAGGCCUGCCAAGGCGACGAUCCAUAGCUGGUCUGAGAGGAUGAUCAGCCACAUUGGGACUGAGACACGGCCCACACUCCUACGCGAGGGAGCAGUGGGGAAUACUGGACAAUGGGCGCAAGCCUGAUACAGCCAUGCCGGGUAAGUGAUGAAGGCGUUAGGGUUGUACAGCUCUUUCAGCGAUGGAGAUAAUGACGGUAGUCGGAGAAGAAGCCCCGGCUAACUUCGUG
rnacentral:rRNA from 1 species